ACGAACGCUGGCGGCAGGCUUAACACAUGCAAGUCGAGCGCAUCCUUCGGGGUGAGCGGCGGACGGGUGAGUAACGCGUGGGAACGUGCCCUCUUCUACGGAAUAGCCUCGGGAAACUGAGAGUAAUGCCGUAUACGCCCGCAAGGGGAAAGAUUUAUCGGAGGAGGAUCGGCCCGCGUUGGAUUAGGUAGUUGGUGGGGUAACGGCCUACCAAGCCGACGAUCCAUAGCUGGUUUGAGAGGAUGAUCAGCCACACUGGGACUGAGACACGGCCCAGACUCCUACGGGAGGCAGCAGUGGGGAAUCUUGGACAAUGGGGGCAACCCUGAUCCAGCCAUGCCGCGUGAGCGAUGAAGGCCUUAGGGUUGUAAAGAUCUUUCAGCUGGGAAGAUAAUGACGGUACCAGCAGAAGAAGCCCCGGCUAACUCCGUG
rnacentral:rRNA from 1 species